GACGAACGCUGGCGGCGUGCUUAACACAUGCAAGUCGAACGGUAAGGCCCUUCGGGGUACACGAGUGGCGAACGGGUGAGUAACACGUGGGUGAUCUGCCCUGCACUUCGGGAUAAGCCUGGGAAACUGGGUCCAAUACCGGAUAGGACCACUGCCUGCAUGGGGGGUGGUGGAAAGCUUUUGCGGUGUGGGAUGGGCCCGCGGCCUAUCAGCUUGUUGGUGGGGUGAUGGCCUACCAAGGCGACGACGGGUAGCCGGCCUGAGAGGGUGACCGGCCACACUGGGACUGAGAUACGGCCCUGACUCCUACGGGAGGCAGCAGUGGGGAAUAUUGCACAAUGGGCGCAAGCCUGAUGCAGCGACGCCGCGUGAGGGAUGAUGGCCUUCGGGUCGUAAACCCCUUUCAGCACCGACGAAGCGCAAGUGACGGUAGGUGCAGAAGAAGGACCGGCCAACUACGUGCCAGCAGCCGCAGUAA
rnacentral:rRNA from 1 species